GGGGGUGGGGAUUGGUUGGGGAAGCAAAGUGAACACUGAACAUUUUGGCUUCCUCCUCCCUCGGAAUUCUGGAGAGUUCCUGAGAUGCUCAGAAGCAAGGUUGCCAUGGUGAGAUUUAACUAUGUAUGUGAAACUCACUCUUGCCCCAUGGACAAAGAUGGAGGGUGUGAGGGACACCCCCUCCCACAACCCCCAGAGGACAGAAAUUCACACAGGUGUCUUCAUGAAAGCCAAAGGAAAACCCCUCAGUCUGGUGUGACUGAGCUCGUGAAGGUGUGGGAGAGCACAGACGGGAGCAGGUCAGGGGGGCGCCCUGGCAGUGGCCGGUGCUUGGUGCUGCCAGGGAAUAAAGCAGAGGAAGGCAGGCCUUGGAGGCCUUUUCAAAGUCACACACAGCCAGUUAAGUGGUGCAAUCGCAACUCCAUCUGGCCUGAUAUGACCCAAAAGCCCAUGAUGAUCUCACACAGAGGAACUUGGCUUCCACCAGGCAUCCCUGGAGCCCAGCAGCAGAUUCAAGGGACUCUUCCAAGAUUUAAAGACAAAAGUAAGCAUAAAGAAAAGGCACUGUGGUUGUCCAAGCACCUACAUGUUCUGGCUAACCCUGGGUGUGGAGGUCCGGGAAGAGGAGCAGCCUAUGGCUGGGCUGCAACAAUGUAUUCCCCGUGUUAUGCUAAGAAGUAAGAAACCUGGAAAAGCCACACUGACAGCAGAUUGUACUUAAUUGUGUUACAAUGUGUAUGCAUGUGUAUUUGGUUAGCAAAGCAAGAAUCUAUUAGCACCUAAAAAUAUAUGUAUAUCUAACCAUAUGAGAUGCUGUUCUGCAGCAUUUAGAUGACUUUUGAAGAGUUUUUACUGACAUGGGGGAAUUCAUCUAACAUGUUAUAAAGAAGAAAAAAUAGGCUACAGUAAUAUUGGAAAGAUGGAUGACUUCAAUUUCUAUUAAAAAAAAAAAACAACUGAUAAUAUUGUGAACAAGUUUGCCAGACUUUUUAAAAAACGAAGCUUAUGCAUGCUGUUUGACUAUAGAAAUAAAAAUGCUUAGAAAGAUACAUAAUGAGUAUGUUAAUGACUCCAUGAAUAAAUUGCAACCAAAAGACAAAAAUGGUGGAAAAGGAACAUUUAUACUAAAAGGGAUUAAGAGACUUAGGAGACAUUGAACCAAAUGCAAAAUGUGUAUUUUUAAAAGUAUGUGUAUAUAUAUAUAUAUUUUUUUUUCCCCCCCAGUCAGGGUUUCUAUGUAAGUCUGGCUAUCUUAGAACUCCUUCUGUAAACCAGACUGGCUUUAAACCUACAGAGAUCAGCCUGCAUCGGCCUCCAGAGUGCUGUAAUUAAAUAUAUUCAUUACCAUGUCCAAUAAAAGGGCCAGGAAAUUCCAGCUGAAAUUCUAGAAUGUUUGGGAGUUGCUUGGAAAUAAUCCAAGUGGGUGGGGAUCUCAAUGGCUGAAGACAGGAGAGCAUGCCGAGGCCGAAUGGCAGGACCUGAGAGCUUCAGCUUACGAUUUUCAUAUAUAUAUAUAUAUAUAUACAUAUAUAUACAUCUUUUCUACAUCAAAAUAUUAGUAGUUCUUUCUAUAUUAUGGGAGAGUUUCUCUCUCUCUCUUUUUUUUCCCCCUGUCUCUCCUGUUCAAGAAACAUAAAGUGCUGGGAACAGAACUUUGGCCUCUGGAAGAGCAGUGAGCACUCUAAGCUGUGAACUCCAAGGAUGUUUAUUCUAUGGGGGGGGGGGGCAGGGGUGGGAAGCUGCUAUUUGUUGAACGACUGCCAGAACUGCCCAAUCUGAGGGAAGGGGGAGAGAGAGAGAGAGAGAGAGAGAGAGAGAGAGAGAGAGAGAGAGAGAGAGAAAGCGAGUAACCAAGCAGGAAUAAUGUCUCAGAGCAGGAACAGGUCACGUAGGUUAGAGGAGAAUAAUCCAGGAACCACACAAGACAAGAUGGCACCUGAGACUCUGGGAACAGCUGCAGAGCAGGACAGAGCCCAAGUUACAGCCCGAGAGAGGGAAAUAGCUUCCUGGGCUGGAGGCUCUGGAACAGUUGCUGGAAUCAGAAGCCAGAUGGAUGGCCUGCGAAGUCUCAGUCUGGGGAGGAGAAACAACCAGCAGGGACUUUGGACUGUGAUUCCUUCCCUUGUGUUUGAGCAGCGAGACCUACCAUCGCCUUGAACUUCACCCUGGUUACUGAAGACUUCAACACUGACCCUGCUCUAACCCUGAUGUGGCUGGACAGAGGGGCAGACAGACAGUGGGCCAGAGAGUGGACAGAGCAGCAGGGGAGGGUGGUAACGAGUAUUACCCUGAGAAAGAGAACUUGCCUUUCUUCACCCCCUCUCUUCAGUGUGCUCAUCAAAAUGGCAGCCAAGAGAGAACUCCCUGUGCUUCGGUUCAUAGUGAGAGGCCACAGGGCCUUUGCUUAGGUUUUUUCUGCAUCUGGAAUGUUCUUCCUUGUCUUGCUGUGACUGACUGUACUCCUACUGCAGAUUUCACCUGCCUUACUGCCUUCUGAUCUCUUUCUGCUCUCUGACUAGGUCAACACUCAACAUACUGCCAACUCCUUGAGACUGCGGACCUUCUCUAUCAAUCCCAUAAUGUAUGGACUGCAGAAGGUCCUCACUGAGGGCUAAGUGAAUGAAGUGGGGAGGCUGGCACCUCCAAAUCACACCCUGAUGUGUGCUUCAUCUUGGCCACUCUGGGGCUGACUCAGCCACAGCUGUGGAAGAGAGAUCUCCUGAGCCUUGUUCAUCUCCCCCAGGGCUCCGCUCCAGACCAGCAAAGCCUCCCAUUGAUGAAAAAGGACAGGCAGCAAGGGAAGGAUGCUCCCCUGACAGCACGUGAGAGCAAUUGUUGGGGCUUCCAAGACUAGCACCCACUGUUGCUUCAAGGCCAGGGCUUGGCUGGCCAGGGUAAAAGGACCAAGUUGUCCUAUAUGUCUCAAAACUACUGCAGCUCAAAGUC